AGUGAACGCUGGCGGCAUGCCUUACACAUGCAAGUCGAACGGUAACGCGGGGCAACCUGGCGACGAGUGGCGAACAGGUGAGUAACGCAUCGGAACGUGCCCAGUAGUGGGGGAUAGCCCGGCGAAAGCCGGAUUAAUACCGCAUACGACCUACGGGUGAAAGGGGGGGAUCGCAAGACCUCCCGCUAUUGGAGCGGCCGAUGUCAGAUUAGGUAGUUGGUGGGGUAAAGGCCGACCAAGACUGCGAUCUGUAGCUGGUCUGAGAGGACGACCCGCCAGCCUGGGACGGAGACAAGGCCCAGACUCCUACGGGAGGCAGCAGUGGGGAAUUAUGGACAGUGGGAGCGAGCCUGAUCCAGCCAUGCCGCGUGCGGGAAGAAGGCCUUCGGGUUGUAAACCGCUUUUGUCGGGGAAGAAAAGCCUUGGGUUAAUACCCUGGGGUGAUGACGGUACCUGAAGAAUAAGCACCGGCUAACUACGUGCCAGCAGCCGCCGUAA
rnacentral:rRNA from 1 species